GUGAGACAGGUGCUGCAUGGCUGUCGUCAGCUCGUGUUGUGAAAUGUUGGGUUAAGUCCCGCAACGAGCGCAACCCUUAUCCUUUGUUGCCAGCGGUCCGGCCGGGAACUCAAAGGAGACUGCCAGUGAUAAACUGGAGGAAGGUGGGGAUGACGUCAAGUCAUCAUGGCCCUUACGACCAGGGCUACACACGUGCUACAAUGGCGCAUACAAAGAGAAGCGACCUCGCGAGAGCAAGCGGACCUCAUAAAGUGCGUCGUAGUCCGGAUUGGAGUCUGCAACUCGGCUCCAUGAAGUCGGAAUCGCUAGUAAUCGUGGAUCAGAAUGCCACGGUGAAUACGUUCCCGGGCCUUGUACACACCGCCCGUCACACCAUGGGAGUGGGUUGCAAAAGAAGUAGGUAGCUUAACCUUCGGGAGGGCGCUUACCACUUUGUGAUUCAUGACUGGGGUGAAGUCGUAACAAGGUAACCGUAGGGGAACCUGCGGUUGGAUCACCUCCUUACCUUAAAGAAGC
rnacentral:rRNA from 1 species